rnacentral:tRNA from 1 species
UAGAAUGUGGUGUAGUUUGGUAGCACGGAGAUUUUUGAAGUCUUAGGGGCAGGUUCGAUUCCUGUAAUUCUAG